CCUACGGGAGGCAGCAGUAGGGAAUCUUCCACAAUGGACGAAAGUCUGAUGGAGCAACGCCGCGUGAGUGAAGAAGGGUUUCGGCUCGUAAAGCUCUGUUGGUAGUGAAGAACGAUAGAGGUAGUAACUGGCCUUUAUUUGAAGGUAAUUACUUAGAAAGUCACGGCUAACCACGUGCCAGCAACCGCGGUAAUACGUAGGUGGCAAGCGUUGUGCGGAUUUAUUGGGCGUAAAGGGGGUGCAGGCGGUUCAAUAAGUCUGAUGGGAAAGCCUUCGGCUCAACCGGAGAAUUGCAUCAGAAACUGUUGAACUUGAGUGCAGAAGAGGAGAGUGGAACUCCAUGUGUAGCGGUGGAAUGCGUAGAUAUAUGGAGGAACACCAGUGGCGAAGGCGGCUCUCUGGUCUGCAACUGACGCUGAGGCUCGAAAGCAUGGGUAGCGAACAGGAUUAGAUACCCCGGUAGUC
rnacentral:rRNA from 1 species